rnacentral:lncRNA from 1 species
CGCUUACAUGUACGAACAUCGCGCGUAACGUCAAAGCAUAAACAUUAAAAUUGAUACUACAUGUAGUACUUUUUUCUUUGAUAGGAAGACUAUUAUAGUAACACCCAACAACUUCAAACUGCUUGACGAGCGUUACAAAACCAGUGCCUUGCUUUUUUGUGAUUUUCUUUUGAGUCUAGCACCAGAAAGGUGCUGCCGCUGCAGACAUGAACUAAACACAACACUUGUUUCUUCAGUUUGCGUCUGCAUCACUUUUGCAGACUGAAACUCAUAAUUCACUUGCCCUAAAAGUAUAUAAAGCAACAGAAAAAAAUAACUCUAAAUCCUAUUGAUAUUAAAAUGUAUUUAAAACCAUUCAAGAGAGAAUCAACGAUAUAGCCGUCCAGAAGCAAGAGACUGACACUAAUCAAACUAAACAAAUUAAACUUUUUUAAUAUACUAUAUAAACCUGGUAGAAGACCCUCGUAUGUUGAUCAAUGCAAAUCCAAAUGUGAUAGAUCGACAUUAUGUAGAUUAAGGUUAAGUGCUCAUACUUUAUCUAUUGAAAGAGGGCGAUAUAUAAAAAUACCAAAGCAGAGUAGGGUAUGUCUUUGCUGCAACAAUGGAGACAUUGAAGAUGAACUACAUUUUCUUUUAAAAUGUUCAUCCUAUAACAAUAUGAGAGAUAACCUCAUCAAAAAA